AUAAUCAAUAUAUUGAAUGGCAUACCUCAAAGUUGAAUUUUUCCACUUUCUCUCUUUGUCCUUCAAUUUCUUUUCCUCUAUCCAUCAUCGUAAUUAUCCCUUCCCUUCCGUUCAAGUUUUCAAGAUCUGAUGUAUAAAAUAUACAUAAAACCUAAUCAGGAGAAAGAAUAGAAUGAAACUGAAGAAAAGAAGCAUAAAAAAGACAUAGCAGAAAACAUGAUUGCAGAUAUAAAAAUUAAGUUAAAUAAACUUUGUUUAGCUAAACAUGAUUGGCUAAGAUCAUGGUUGACUAGCCUUUUUAAUUGAUGUUGAAGAUGAAAAAUCUGAGAUAUGGAAUGGUUGCUCCUCUCUGUUUUUGUGUAUGUAUAAUGUAUGAAUUCUACCCUUUUCAACAAACCAACUACUUGAGAUAAGAGGUUGAAAAUUCGGUCGAGUCAAGGGGACAAAGGCACCAAAUCAUUGAUGUUAGGUAGAAAAUGACAAAAAUAAGGUUGGAC
rnacentral:lncRNA from 1 species